rnacentral:rRNA from 1 species
UACGUAGGUGGCUAGCGUUAUCCGGAAUUACUGGGCGUAAAGGGUGCGUAGGUGGUUUAUUAAGUCUGGUGUAAAAGGCAGUGGCUCAACCAUUGUAUACAUUGGAAACUGGUAGACUUGAGUGCAGGAGAGGAGAGUGGAAUUCCAUGUGUAGCAGUGAAAUGCGUAGAUAUAUGGAGGAACACCGGUGGCGAAAGCGGCUCUCUAGCCUGUAACUGACACUGAGGCUCGAAAGCGUGGGGAGCAAACAGG